rnacentral:lncRNA from 1 species
CUAAGUGAUUUUAGGACAAACUCUCUAGACUGAGGUCUCGGGUUCAGGAGCUGCACGUGGGGCAGCCGGACUGUUCACAGGAAAACAGACGAGGCCCGUGCGGGUCAUCAGAAAGAAGCAUGACUCAGACGUCAGAACGGGAAGACAACUUAUGAAUCUGCUGCAGUCCACAAAAAUAAACUAAUUUGUUUUUCUACAUUAAUGACUAAGGUGUAAGAGAACAAAAAUAUAAUAAUUAAAGGUCGCCCUGGGCACCAGAGUCGUUAGAAUCUGUGACGUACUGUUUAUCUCGUUUCUCUGCAGCGAAGGUAGGUGUGUGUUUUGCUUAGUAACCAUCACUAAUGAGGUUCACAAUUAAGAAGGUUGGAUCCCAGUCCUCGGUCCCUGCUUCCCCAGAGGGCCAGCGCUGGCAACAUGAUAGGUUCAGGAUGGCCCCACGGCCCUCUGGUGUUCGGUUGUAGUCUGGGUCCAAAAUCAGCCUCCUCUAAUGAGCUAUUAUGAUCUGAGCAAAGUACGAGUAUUUAUUUUUGUAAGUAGCAUGAAAAAGCAUUUGACUGUAAGCAGAAAAUAUAGCAUUUAGGAAAAUAAAGGCCACUCUUGGGUACCUUGGAGAUAAAACCCAGCUUACCAAGAGCUAUUUGGAGAAGGAGUCUGGUUUGAGA